rnacentral:sRNA from 1 species
GUACGAAGCGGGGGUGGGCUCUGCGCGUAAUGGCAGCGCCGUGGCCUCGCGUCCAUCUUUACCGUUCUCUCGGACCUGUCACAAAGGAGUCGCGCCGCCGCCGCCGCCCCCUCCUUCCGGUGGGCCCGGGAGGUAGAGAAAGUCAGUGCCACAGCCCGACCGCGCUGCUCUGAGCCCUGGGCACGCGGAACGGGAGGGAGUCUGAGGGUUGGGGACGUCUGUGAGGGAGGGGAACAGCCGCUCGAGCCUGGGGCGGGCGGACCGGACUGGGGCCGGGGUAGGCUCUGGAAAGGGCCCGGGAGAGAGGUGGCGUUGGUCAGAACCUGAGAAACAGCCGAGAGGUUUUCCACCGAGGCCCGCGCUUGAGGGAUCUGAAGAGGUUCCUAGAAGAGGGUGUUCCCUCUUUCGGGGGUCCUCACCAGAAGAGGUUCUUGGGGGUCGCCCUUCUGAGGAGGCUGCGGCUAACAGGGCCCAGAACUGCCAUUGGAUGUCCAGAAUCCCCUGUAGUUGAUAAUGUUGGGAAUAAGCUCUGCAACUUUCUUUGGCAUUCAGUUGUUAAAAACAAAUAGGAUGCAAAUUCCUCAACUCCAGGUUAUGAAAACAGUACUUGGAAAACUGAAAACUACCUAAAUGAUCGUCUUUGGUUGGGCCGUGUUCUUAGCGAGCAGAAGCCUUGGCCAGGGUCUGUUGUUGACUCUCGAAGAGCACAUAGCCCACUUCCUAGGGACUGGAGGUGCUGCUACUACCAUGGGUAAUUCCUGUAUCUGCCGAGAUGACAGUGGAACAGAUGACAGUGUUGACACCCAACAGCAACAGGCCGAGAACAGUGCAGUACCCACUGCUGACACAAGGAGCCAACCACGGGACCCUGUUCGGCCACCAAGGAGGGGCCGAGGACCGCAUGAGCCAAGGAGAAAGAAACAAAAUGUGGAUGGGCUAGUGUUGGACACACUGGCAGUAAUACGGACUCUUGUAGAUAAGUAAGUAUCUGACUCACGGUCACCUCCAGUGGAAUGAAAAGUGUUCUGCCAGGAACCAUGACUUUAGGACUCCUUCAGUUCCUUUAGGACAUACUCGCCAAGCCUUGUGCUCACAGGGCAAAGGAGAAUAUUUUAAUGCUCCGCUGAUGGCAGAGUAAAUGAUAAGAUUUGAUGUUUUUGCUUGCUGUCAUCUACUUUAUCUGGAAAUGUCUAAAUGUUUCUGUAGCAGAAAACACGAUAAAGCUAUGAUCUUUAUUAGAG